GAUGAACGCUGGCGGCAUGCCUAAUACAUGCAAGUCGAGCGAACAGAUGAAGUGCUUGCACUUCUGACGUUAGCGGCGAACGGGUGAGUAACACGUAAGGAAUCUACCUAUAAGCGGGGGAUAACAUUCGGAAACGGGUGCUAAUACCGCAUAAUAUCUUCUUCCGCAUGGAAGAAGAUUGAAAGACGGCUCUGCUGUCACUUAUAGAUGACCUUGCGGUGCAUUAGUUAGUUGGUGGGGUAAUGGCCUACCAAGACAAUGAUGCAUAGCCGAACGGAGAGGGUGAUCGGCCACAUUGGGACGGGGACACGGCCCAAACUCCUACGGGAGGCAGCAGUAGGGAAUCUUCCGCAAUGGGCGAAAGCCUGACGGAGCAAUGCCGCGUGAGUGAAGAAGGCCUUCGGGUCGUAAAACUCUGUUAUAAGAGAAGAACAAAUUGUAGAGUAACUGCUACAGUCUUGACGGUAUCUUAUCAGAAAGCCACGGCUAACUACGUGCCAGCCGCCGCCGUAA
rnacentral:rRNA from 1 species